CACGUAGGGUGCAAGCGUUAAUCGGAAUUACUGGGCGUAAAGCGUGCGCAGGCGGUGAUGUAAGACCGAUGUGAAAUCCCCGGGCUUAACCUGGGAACUGCAUUGGUGACUGCAUUGCUCGAGUAUGGCAGAGGGGGGUGGAAUUCCACGUGUAGCAGUGAAAUGCGUAGAGAUGUGGAGGAACACCGAUGGCGAAGGCAGCCCCCUGGGCCAAUACUGACGCUCAUGCA
rnacentral:rRNA from 1 species